rnacentral:pre_miRNA from 1 species
CAUGCACCAGUGGGGUCCCUCGGCCUGGCCUGCGGGAUCUGGCUGAAACCAGCUCACCAACAUCCCCCAGAUUGCAAGAGAAUGCAGGCCAGGCCAAGGGACCCCACCGGUGCACG